rnacentral:rRNA from 1 species
GACGAACGCUGGCGGCGUGCCUAAUACAUGCAAGUUGAGCGCUGAAGGUUGGUACUUGUACCAACUGGAUGAGCAGCGAACGGGUGAGUAACGCGUGGGGAAUCUGCCUUUGAGCGGGGGACAACAUUUGGAAACGAAUGCUAAUACCGCAUAAAAACUUUAAACACAAGUUUUAAGUUUGAAAGAUGCAAUUGCAUCACUCAAAGAUGAUCCCGCGUUGUAUUAGCUAGUUGGUGAGGUAAAGGCUCACCAAGGCGAUGAUACAUAGCCGACCUGAGAGGGUGGUCGGCCACAUUGGGACUGAGACACGGCCCAAACUCCUACGGGGGGCAGCAGUAGGGAAUCUUCGGAAAUGGACGAAAGUCUGACCGAGCAACGCCGCGUGAGUGAAGAAGGUUUUCGGAUCGUAAAACUCUGUUGGUAGAGAAGAACGUUGGUGAGAGUGGAAAGCUCAUCAAGUGACGGUAACUACCCAGAAAGGGACGGCUAACUACGUG